AACAUCCUGCCUGAUGCGCGGACCAGUGUAUAAAUAACCCUACAAUUAUUAAUAGGGAGCUUUGGCUCCGGCGGCGGACUUCAGACCUCCCGGCUUUUGCCGGACGAAGGGAGUGCGAAACCGUUGGGCGGGCACCCACCUGCUUAUGGUAGCAGGUUAUUCAGCACUUUACGGUCAGGCGGGCUUUUA
rnacentral:other from 1 species